rnacentral:rRNA from 1 species
UACGGAGGGUGCGAGCGUUGUCCGGAAUCAUUGGGCGUAAAGGGCGCGUAGGUGGCCACUUCAAGCGUGCGGUGAAAGUCGGGGGCUCAACCCCUGAUCGGCCGUGCGAACUGGGGGGCUGGAGCACUGUAGAGGCAGGCGGAAUUCCGGGUGUAGCGGUGGAAUGCGCAGAUAUCAGGAGGAACACCGGUGGCGAAGGCGGGUCUCUGGGCAGUAACUGACGCUGAGGAGCGAAAGCGUGGGGAGCGAACAGG